CCGAAUCUAACAUCAAACAAGACAAUCCAAACUGAGCCCACCAAAAGCGUUUCGCAGAGAUACCUGUUUCGAUAUACCAUAGACCAAUUUGAAACCCUGGCCUGUUGAAUAUAAAGGGUGGGAGUGGAAACGAUUGUAGGAGGAGACGAAAAACCCUAAAUUUCAAGCGGGCACAAACAGAAACCCUUAUUCGAAAAACAAAAACCUAAAUCUAAAACGAC
rnacentral:lncRNA from 1 species